CCUACGGGAGGCUGCAGUGGGGAAUAUUGCGCAAUGGGCGAAAGCCUGACGCAGCGACGCCGCGUGAGGGAUGAAGGUCUUCGGAUCGUAAACCUCUGUCAGCAGGGAAGAACGGUCACUGUGCUAAUCAGCAGUGAAUUGACGGUACCUGCAAAGGAAGCACCGGCUAACUCCGGGCCAGCAGCCGCGGUAAUACGGAGGGGGCGUGCGUUAAUCGGAAUUACUGGGCGUAAAGGGUGCGUAGGCGGUAUGUCAAGUCAAGGGUGAAAUCCCCGGGCUCAACGUUGGAACUGCCUUUGAAACUGGGAAACUGGAGUGUGUGAGAGGAUGGUGGAAUGCCAGGUGUAGGAGUGAAAUGCGUAGAUAUCUGGAGGAACAUCAGUGGCGAAGGCGACCAUCUGGGACAUAACUGACGCUGAGGAGCGAAAGCGUGGGUAGCAAACAGGAUUAGAUACCCCAGUAGUC
rnacentral:rRNA from 1 species